AAUUCGAUUGAGUUUGAUCAUGGCUCAGGACGAACGCUGGCGGCGUGCUUAACACAUGCAAGUGGAGCGACGAACCAGGGCCUUGCCCUGGGGCAGAGCCGCGAACGGGUGAGUAACACGUGGGUUACCUGCCCCGAUGACCGGGACAACCCGAGGAAACUCGGGCUAAUACCGGAUGUGGUCUUCGGACCAAAGGAAGCUUCGGCCUCCGCAUCGGGAUGGGCCCGCGGCGCAUUAGCUUGUUGGUGGGGUAACGGCCUACCAAGGCGACGAUGCGUAGCUGGUCUGAGAGGACGAUCAGCCACACUGGGACUGAGACACGGCCCAGACUCCUACGGGAGGCAGCAGUGGGAAAUCUUGCGCAAUGCGCGAAAGCGUGACGCAGCAACGCCGCGUGGGGGAAGAAUGCCUUCGGGUUGUAAACCCCUUUCAGUUGGGACGAAGCUUCGCCGGUUAAUAGCUGGCUGGAGUGACGGUACCUUCAGAAGAAGCCCCGGCUAACUACGUGCCAGCAGCCGCGGUAAUACGUAGGGGGCAAGCGUUGUCCGGAAUCAUUGGGCGUAAAGGGCGUGUAGGCGGCUCGGUAAGUCCGCUGUGAAAGUCCAGGGCUCAACCCUGGAAUGCCGGUGGAUACUGUCGGGCUCGAGUCCGGAAGAGGUGAGUGGAAUUCCUGGUGUAGCGGUGAAAUGCGCAGAUAUCAGGAGGAACACC
rnacentral:rRNA from 1 species